UACGAAGGGUGCAAGCGUUACUCGGAAUUACUGGGCGUAAAGCGUGCGUAGGCGGUUUGUUAAGUCCGCUGUGAAAGCCCUGGGCUCAACCUGGGAAUUGCAGUGGAUACUGGCAAGCUAGAGUGCGGUAGAGGAUGGUGGAAUUCCUGGUGUAGCAGUGAAAUGCGUAGAUAUCAGGAGGAAUACCGAUGGCGAAGGCAGGUCUCUGGGCUGACACUGACGCUCAUGCACGAAAGCGUGGGGAGCAAACAGG
rnacentral:rRNA from 1 species